AGCUUGCUCUCUUGGCGGCGAGUGGCGGACGGGUGAGUAAUAUAUCGGAACGUGCCCAGUAUCGGGGGAUAACUACUCAAAAGAGUGGCUAAUACCGCAUACGCCCUACGGGGGAAAGGGGGGGAUCGCAAGACCUCUCACUAUUGGAGCGGCCGAUAUCGGAUUAGCUAGUUGGUGGGGUAAAGGCUCACCAAGGCCACGAUCCGUACCUGGUUUGAGAGGACGACCAGCCACACUGGGACUGAGCACGGCCCACACUCCUACGGGAGGCAGCAGUGGGGAAUUUUGGACAAUGGGGGAAACCCUGAUCCAGCCAUCCCGCGUGUAUGAUGAAGGCCUUCGGGUUGUAAAGUACUUUUGGCAGAGAAGAAAAGGUACCUCCUAAUACGAGGUACUGCUGACGGUAUCUGCAGAAUAAGCACCGGCUAACUACGUGCCAACAGCCGCGGUAAUACGUAGGGUGCAAGCGUUAAUCGGAAUUACUGGGCGUAAAGCGUGUGUAGGCGGUUCGGAGAGAAAGAUGUGAAAUCCCAGGACUCAACCUUGUAACUGCAUUUUUAACUGCCGAGCUAGAGUAUGUCAGAUGGGGGUAGAAUCCACGUGUACCAGUGAAAUGCGUAAAUAUGUGGAGGAAUACC
rnacentral:rRNA from 1 species